CAGUUUAGAGGCUAACACGAGCAUAGAUCGGUAGUCUGCUAAUACGUCUUACAAGCCAUUCUCCCAGUGUUAGGGGGAGCUUGGUCAUCAGCUUCAAUACAUCUACAGAAAUAAGUGGCAGUCCUAGUCAAGUCAUGAGGUUUGAGACGCAGAAGAUUCCUCCUGAAGCAAAUGUGUCUGAGCUCGCUGAGCCCCUGAUUUCGUCUUACGACACUGAAGACGACUCUAUAGAUGAAAUUUCAAUGGGAGGUGCAUCCAGAGGGAACAAAUCCACACCAUCACAACGG